rnacentral:rRNA from 1 species
CAGAGGUGUUUAUAGUGAUUUCCGCCCUUUACUGCUGAAGUUAACGCAUUAAUCACUCCGCCUGGGGAGUACGGCCGCAAGGCUGAAACUCAAAGGAAUUGACGGGGGCCCGCACAAGCGGUGGAGCAUGUGGUUUAAUUCGAAGCAACGCGAAGAACCUUACCAGGUCUUGACAUCCUCUGACAACCCUAGAGAUAGGGCUUCUCCUUCGGGAGCAGAGUGACAGGUGGUGCAUGGUUGUCGUCAGCUCGUGUCGUGAGAUGUUGGGUUAAGUCCCGCAACGAGCGCAACCCUUGAUCUUAGUUGCCAUCAUUCAGUUGGGCACUCUAAGGUGACUGCCGGUGACAAACCGGAGGAAGGUGGGGAUGACGUCAAAUCAUCAUGCCCCUUAUGACCUGGGCUACACACGUGCUACAAUGGACGGUACAAAGAGCUGGAGGAGCGCGAGGUGCACCUAAUCUCAUAAAACCGUUCUCAGGUUCGGAUUGUAGGCUGCAACUCGCCUAUUGAAACUGGAAUCGCGAGUAAGCGCGGAUUAUCAUGCGCGCGGUGAAUUUUUUAUUUGGUGUCUUGUAAACCCCCGCCCGACAUACCACAAG